UACAGAGGGUGCGAGCGUUGUCCGGAAUCACUGGGCGUAAAGGGCGCGUAGGUGGCCUGAUAAGUAGGGGGUGAAAUCUCGAGGCUCAACGUUCGAGGCUGCCUUCUAAACUGUCGGGCUUGAGCAGAGGUAGAGGCAGGUGGAAUUCCCGGUGUAGCGGAUGGAAUGCGUAGAGAUCGGGAAGAACAUCGGUGGCGAAGGCGGCCUGCUGGGCUCUUGCUGACACUGGAGGCGACGACAGCGUGGGGAGCAAACAGGAUUAGAUCCC
rnacentral:rRNA from 1 species